AAUCCAUAGGUUAAUGAGGCGAACCGGGGGAACUGAAACAUCUAAGUACCCCGAGGAAAAGAAAUCAACCGAGAUUCCCCCAGUAGCGGCGAGCGAACGGGGAGGAGCCCAGAGCCUGAAUCAGUGUGUGUGUUAGUGGAAGCGUCUGGAAAGGCGCGCGAUACAGGGUGACAGCCCCGUACACAAAAAUGCACAUGCUGUGAGCUCGAUGAGUAGGGCGGGACACGUGGUAUCCUGUCUGAAUAUGGGGGGACCAUCCUCCAAGGCUAAAUACUCCUGACUGACCGAUAGUGAACCAGUACCGUGAGGGAAAGGCGAAAAGAACCCCGGCGAGGGGAGUGAAAAAGAACCUGAAACCGUGUACGUACAAGCAGUGGGAGCACAGAGCAAUCUGUGUGACUGCGUACCUUUUGUAUAAUGGGUCAGCGACUUAUAUUCUGUAGCAAGGUUAACCGAAUAGGGGAGCCGAAGGGAAACCGAGUCUUAACUGGGCGUUAAGUUGCAGGGUAUAGACCCGAAACCCGGUGAUCUAGCCAUGGGCAGGUUGAAGGUUGGGUAACACUAACUGGAGGACCGAACCGACUAAUGUUGAAAAAUUAGCGGAUGACUUGUGGCUGGGGGUGAAAGGCCAAUCAAACCGGGAGAUAGCUGGUUCUCCCCGAAAGCUAUUUAGGUAGCGCCUCGUGAAUUCAUCUCCGGGGGUAGAGCACUGUUUCGGCAAGGGGGUCAUCCCGACUUACCAACCCGAUGCAAACUGCGAAUACCGGAGAAUGUUAUCACGGGAGACACACGGCGGGUGCUAACGUCCGUCGUGAAGAGGGAAACAACCCAGACCGCCAGCUAAGGUCCCAAAGUCAUGGUUAAGUGGGAAACGAUGUGGGAAGGCCCAGACAGCCAGGAUGUUGGCUUAGAAGCAGCCAUCAUUUAAAGAAAGCGUAAUAGCUCACUGGUCGAGUCGGCCUGCGCGGAAGAUGUAACGGGGCUAAACCAUGCACCGAAGCUGCGGCAGCGACACUAUGUGUUGUUGGGUAGGGGAGCGUUCUGUAAGCCUGUGAAGGUGUGCUGUGAGGCAUGCUGGAGGUAUCAGAAGUGCGAAUGCUGACAUAAGUAACGAUAAAGCGGGUGAAAAGCCCGCUCGCCGGAAGACCAAGGGUUCCUGUCCAACGUUAAUCGGGGCAGGGUGAGUCGACCCCUAAGGCGAGGCCGAAAGGCGUAGUCGAUGGGAAACAGGUUAAUAUUCCUGUACUUGGUGUUACUGCGAAGGGGGGACGGAGAAGGCUAUGUUGGCCGGGCGACGGUUGUCCCGGUUUAAGCGUGUAGGCUGGUUUUCCAGGCAAAUCCGGAAAAUCAAGGCUGAGGCGUGAUGACGAGGCACUACGGUGCUGAAGCAACAAAUGCCCUGCUUCCAGGAAAAGCCUCUAAGCAUCAGGUAACAUCAAAUCGUACCCCAAACCGACACAGGUGGUCAGGUAGAGAAUACCAAGGCGCUUGAGAGAACUCGGGUGAAGGAACUAGGCAAAAUGGUGCCGUAACUUCGGGAGAAGGCACGCUGAUAUGUAGGUGAAGCGACUUGCUCGUGGAGCUGAAAUCAGUCGAAGAUACCAGCUGGCUGCAACUGUUUAUUAAAAACACAGCACUGUGCAAACACGAAAGUGGACGUAUACGGUGUGACGCCUGCCCGGUGCCGGAAGGUUAAUUGAUGGGGUCAGCGCAAGCGAAGCUCUUGAUCGAAGCCCCGGUAAACGGCGGCCGUAACUAUAACGGUCCUAAGGUAGCGAAAUUCCUUGUCGGGUAAGUUCCGACCUGCACGAAUGGCGUAAUGAUGGCCAGGCUGUCUCCACCCGAGACUCAGUGAAAUUGAACUCGCUGUGAAGAUGCAGUGUACCCGCGGCAAGACGGAAAGACCCCGUGAACCUUUACUAUAGCUUGACACUGAACAUUGAGCCUUGAUG
rnacentral:rRNA from 1 species